AGACGUUCGGUCGUUCCCGCGUGUCUCGAUCGUGCUCAUACAGUCGGACACGGACACACUUAGACAGAGGAACGUACGUAAACGACGUUCUCGCACGCUCGCUCGUUCGUUCGUUCUUUCGUUCGUUCGCUCAGUGUAUCUAUCCCUCUCUUUUACCAUUCUAUCUCCAUCUCUCUUUCUAGUCGUUGGCGAAGAGGAACGCGGCGCGUAGCAGUAUUCUCGCUCGAUUGGCCCGGCAGUCGUAGCCGAGUCGAUCCGUCGUUCGCGCUUAAUUUUCUUCGCGAUCCACAGAGUGUUCUUCUCCCUCUUUCUCUUCUUGUUUUCUUAUUUCUCUUUUUUUUCUUCUUUUUUUUUCCCCUUUUUCUUGCACAUUACAAACGGGUUGGAACGCGUGCAAGUGGAGAACCGUUAAAGCGCUCUCUCUCACCCGUUUAACUUAGUCGAUAGAAACGUCUCGCACCGAUUAGAUCUCUUUCGGUAUUUCGUUCUUUUUCGAUGAUUUUUAAAACUGUAAUCGAAAAGAAGACAGAUUGAAGAAGCAUAAUUCGUCUCUUCUUCGAAGAUUGAUAAUAAUAAGAGAAAGAAAGAAAGGAAAUAAGAUUAAGAAGACAAAGAGUUUUGAAACAUAUAGAAGAAGAAUAAAGAGUACUAGUAGUAGUAGUAGUAGUAGUAGUAGUAGUAGUAGUAGUAGGAGGAGGAGGAGAAGAAGGAGGAGGAGAAGGAAGAAGAAGAGAGAGAGAGAGGAAGAAGAUCAAGCCCUUGGUUCGGUGCGCGCGAACGCACGCGCGCACUCAAUUCUUAAGGUCGACGACUGUGAGAGACUACUAACUACCGGUACUUCUUUCGCCCGCGAAACAUGCUCGCGGUCAAAGUGGAAUAUACAGAGGAGGCCAACAUGAUGGACUCGGUCUCUACAGUAUCAUCAUCGACGAGUUCAUCGACCGUUUCCCAACAACAACAACAACAGCAGCAACAACAACAACAACAACAACAGCAGCAACAGCAGCAGCAACAACAGGGAGUACCGUUCGACGAAAGCGGUUUUGAGCCACAAACGAGAGCGCGAUCCAACACGUGGCCUUUACCGAGGCCCGAUGGAUACGUCGAUGGUAACGUUGGAGUCGUCGUUGGUGGUUCUGGUGGUGGUAGUGGUGCUUGUGGUGUACAAACUGGUAACGACAUAGGCGAGGUAGGUGGUACACCACCGCAACAGGCAACAUUGGGACAAACAGGUGCGGGGGGUGCACCAUUAUUCCCAGUUAAAAAGAACUCAUCUAGAAGAAACGCGUGGGGUAAUCUAAGCUAUGCCGAUAUGAUUACACAAGCGAUCACCAGUGCACCGGAACAAAGGCUCACGUUAUCCCAGAUAUACGAGUGGAUGGUACAGAACGUUAACUAUUUCAAGGACAAGGGUGAUAGUAAUAGCAGUGCCGGUUGGAAGAAUUCCAUAAGACACAACCUGUCGUUGCAUUGCAAAUUCAUGAGAGUACAGAAUGAGGGAACGGGAAAGAGUUCAUGGUGGAUGAUCAAUCACGAUGCUAAACCCGGGAAAUCACCACGACGUAGAGCUACGUCAAUGGAGACGAGCAAAUUUGAAAAAAGACGUGGUCGAGUUAAGAAGAAGGUCGAAGCAUUGAGAAACGGAGUUUUGCAAGCUGAUGCUACACCAAGCCCAAGUAGCAGCGUCAGCGAGGGUUUGGAUCUUUUCCCUGACAGUCCACUUCAUCCAGCCAGUGGAUUUCAACUUUCACCGGACUUUCGACCUCGAGCAUCGAGUAACGCGUCCUCCAGUGGUCGAUUGAGUCCAAUUCCUGCGGUUUACGGGGAACCAGAAUGGACACCAACCUAUGCGCCAUCUUACAGUCCGGAACAGUUAGACACGAUCCUGGCCGGUAGCCUCGCGGAAACCAUGAAAUUGGAGUCGUAUCAAAUGUACCAAACGUCACCCCCUAAUCAUCAGCAACAAACUGGCCCACCACCUUCUUACUUCGAUACGCAAUAUCAGAGAAACAAUACUCUACGCACUGGUUCGUCAUCUUUCGGACUUCCACCUACGCCACAGCCCAGUAGUCAACAGAGGUGCCCGAUACAUCGUUUACAGGCUUGCGCUUGUCAGAUGAACCUGAGUCCGGUGUCUGGAAUGUCACCGUCAUAUCAACAGAACGAACCAAGCCCAACGGCGCUGAGUAAUAGUCAACAACAAACGAUCCAGUAUAUGAUUCAGAAUCAACAACGGCAACAGCAGCAACAACAGCAGCAACAGCAACAGCAACAGCAGCAGCAGCAGCAACAACAACAACAGCAACAACAACAACAACAGCAGCAACAGCAGCAGCAGCAACAACAGCAACGACAUCAACAACAGCAACAGCAGCAGCAACAACAGCAGCAACAACAGCAAGCACAGAAUGGUCCAGCGGGAGUAAGUCCGCCGCACACACCUUCCCCAUGUGAUUCAACGCCAAGUACAAUGAUGGGACAAUUAAUGGGUGCCCUUAAUAACUCAGCCCUGCUCGAUGAUCUCAAUAUUAAUAUCGAAACGUUGCACGGUGGAUUUGAUUGUAACGUCGAAGAGGUAAUAAAUCACGAGCUUUCGAUGGAUGAAACAUUGGAUUUCAAUUUUCAACAAGGCGUAAUGGGUACUGCGGCGAUUCAAGUUAGCGACGGUAACAUCGUCGGACAAAAUGGUAUAGUUACUCAAAAUAAUGUUGGGGUUGGUACGGCUACCGGAAAUGCACCAGCGGGAGUUUACAUGAGCACCAAUGCGGCGACUCCCGCGGCACCACCUUCUUGGGUUCACUAGCAGUGGACCCCUCUGCCCUCGACACCACCAUUGUCCUUACCAAUUCCAUCGACCAACAUCGAUGGAUGGGACAAUUAUUGCGGGAUGUCGGAGGGACAAUUCGACUGUCCGAUUGUCGAGGAUGCAAGAAUGAAUCGAGCACUUGUGAUAAGAUGUAGACAUAAUUAUACCAGACCACGACGAUACGCAUACUUCAAAAAUACUAUAUUACGUUAGUGCAAUUAUUAACGCGAGGAAUAAUUAACGGCAAGAGAGAGAGAGAAAGAGAGAGAGAAAGAGAGACAGAGCCAGAGAGAGAGAGAGAGAGAGAGAGAGAGAGAGAGAGAGAGAGAGAGAGAGAGAGAGAGAGCGUAUCUAUCUCUUCCAUCCCCAUACUUCUUUUCCCCGUCCUUCUUCAUCUCCUCUCCCCCUCCCCCCUUUUCUUCCUGCUAGUCCUUCUUAUUCUCAUCCACCUCAUCCUUUUCAAGAAGAGGAAAAUGGUUGGAUACUUGAAUGAAAAGAAAAAAUAAAUAAAUAAAAAAAAGGUAGAAUAGGCGAGAGGAAU